UAUCUCUGUAGAGUCUGCAUAUCAAUAAGCGGAGGAAAAGAAACUAACUAGGAUUCCCUCAGUAACGGCGAGUGAGGCGGGAAGAGCUCAAAUUUGAAAUCUUCAAGGUUCUACCUUGACGAAUUGUAGUUUAAAGAAGUGUUUUCUGUUGGAGUUUUGGUAAAAGUUCUUUGGAAUAGGACAUCAUAGAGGGUGAGAAUCCCGUAUUUGACCAUUAUUUCCAGCUUUGUGAUACACUUUCAAAGAGUCGGAUUGUUUGGGAAUGUAGUCCAAAAUGGGUGGUAAAUUUCAUCUAAAGCUAAAUACUGGCGAGAGACCGAUAGCGAACAAGUACCGUGAGGGAAAGAUGAAAAGAACUUUGAAAAGAGAGUUAAACAGUACGUGAAAUUGUCAAAAGGGAAGCGUUUGACACCAGUGUUGUUUUCUCGAAAAUCAAUUAAAAAAGGCAGGAUUUUGUGUUGUAUUGACUUUAUCAGCUUUCUGCACUCUUUUCUUGUCUUUUUUAAUGCACUUUUCGUUUAACAAGUCAACAUCAAUUUCUUUUGUUGUAAAAGGGUCAUUGGAAGGUGGCUUUCUUUUCGGAGAAAGUGUUUAUAGCCUUUGGCCUUCUGCAAUCGGAGAGAUUGAGGUCUGCAGCGUAGAUCCUUCGGGGCUAGAUACAUUAGAUGCUAAGUUAUAGCUUUUUAUAGACAACUUGUUGACUAUGAUUAAGUCAUGUAGCUUACUCGCUUAUGCCUAUUUUACCUACGCUUAGGAUGUUGAAGUCAUCGUAUCGCGC
rnacentral:rRNA from 1 species